rnacentral:misc_RNA from 1 species
AACUGAUACUACCUGCGGGAACCUGCGGAAGGAUCAUUAAAAAAAUGAAGCCGGCCAAAAGGUCGGCAUCAUAAUCCUUUAAUACCUAUGUGCACUUAUUGAACCUUUUUGCUUUGGCAGGAGAAAUCCUGCCAGAGGUAUCCCAUCAAAACCUGAAUGUUUUGACUGACCUUUAUUUCAAAUAAAAUUUUGAAUACAACUUUUAACAAUGGAUCUCU